UCAGGAAUUUGAACCCUUGCUUAGAUUUUAACACAUGCUGGAUCCAGGGAUUAGAAGGGUCUCGGCAUAUAACCUGCCCUCCCCAUCUCAUAACAAUACCGAUAUUCCUUAGAUUCUUUCUGGAGAAUAUCAUCUCUUUCCUUUCAAAGGCAAGUAGUUCCCAACCUUUUCAGACCCAGGGCCCACCUUUACCCCUGGACCACAAUAGGAUCCCUUUUUAAUUAUUUAUGUAGCUGACCGUCUGUAUUUGUUUUGCUCCUCUCUUUGCUGCCACAUUGUUGUUGCUGUUCUUUGGUCCUUCUCUUAAAAAUACCACCAUAAACAACAGCUACCAAAAAAAUUGUGUUAGUGAUACAGCACAACCCACCUUAGAAAAGGAUGGGUGAUGCAGUUGUGGAUCAAGACUGACCAAAUGAAAGCAAUUACCUAUAGUUCUGUUCCUACAUGGAAGAAGAGAGUCUGUACCAACAAUGAUGUUCAGGUGUUGGGGUUGGGAAAUGACAGGACGUGACUGUGGUUGCCUCCAGACUGUCAGAAUUUUGUGGGAGGCCAGAUAAUCCCCCUAUCAGGGAGACUCAGAGGCCACCAGUUGCUAAUCCUACCAUGGAUGCUUCCCGUGUCUUGCUUUGCAGCUUUAGAUGCCUCGUGUCUUUCUUUUUAGGACUUAGCCACCCAAGGUAAAUGUCACACCGGAUAUAUAUAAUAUGUGCAAAAACUCUUCCUCCCUCUCUUUCUUUCUCUCUCCAUCCCACACUUCCUUGAUGGCAAAUAUUGGCUCGAAAGUUUUUGGCUUCUAAUGUGAUCAAUGAGACAAGCACUCUGGAAGGAGGCAUUGCAGGGAUGUUGCUAUAGAAACCACCAAAGGAGGAAGAUAAAACAGGGACACUUUUUCUUUUCAGCAGGUAGUGAUUCAGCAGAGCCGUGCUCCAGGCAGCUCUGGGAGUGACAUACAGACGUUUCUUUUCUGCAGUAGGUCAUGGUUUCAGGAAGCAAGAAGGGAAGUGUUUUACUCUGUGCUGAUUCCUUUCCUGUUUGUAAUGGUGUGGUAGAAUAUGCAAGGCAGGACUUCCCUGCUUGAUGGUCAUGUGCAUUUAAAUGCUCUAUGUGCUAUGUGGUGUGUCAUACAGCAUAUGCACACACUAAAGAGGAAAUUCUCCACUAACAGACACUGAGUUCUGCAACCUGUGUAAAUCAUGAAUGCUAUCACUAUUUCUCUUGUUUUGGAUAGUUAUGGGGGCUAGGUGGGAUAUUGAAGCCCCACUUCUAUCAAUGGAGAUCUAUUUCAGCCAACCCUCCUCUGUCUUCUGAAAUUUCAGCAGCUCUAGUGAAGCUUGCUCUUUCAUUUUUUAAAAAGAGGUUUUUAGAGAUAAAGUUUAGAUCUAAAAAAACCCAAACCAAACUGCAGCCAGUAUAAAAUUAUGUGGAUUUCUGUGCUAAAGGCUUGCUAGGAAAGAGGGAGGAAAGUGGAGAGAGCUCCCCGCCCAUAGAGCAGCCCCCCUCACCCUUCUGCAUGAACCGUCCUGGGUAUGUCACCUGGUUAAAAAGAGUGAUGCCCAUUGCAGGUGCUCAUUGCUUGCCUGGAAUCAGGAGAUUUUGCUGUGCUCCAAAGCAAGAGUGAUCAAAUGCUUCAACUGCCCCCAAUGCAGAAAUGGGAUAGAGUGAUUUACUGUCACCAGAGGCUAGCUAGAAGCAGACAAAACUCAGUGCAGUGGAUCAGUCAUGCAGCAACACUCUGAGCAACCUCUUCUGAGCCUUCUGUGCCUUCAGUUACUUUGGGGUUCACUUGGAGGAGAAGCAUAAUGUUACAAAUCUAGGGUAGCAAAGAUUUGGGGCACAAGGGCACCCAUAAAUACUAGAGUUGGUGAAUGUUUGAAAUUAAUAAAUGGCAGAAUUUAGAUAAUAUUUGGAAUGUUGGAGGGAAGGUGCCAGGCCAGUGAAAAAUACAGGCUAAGCUUGGAAAGGCUACAGAGAGGCAACAGGGUGCUCCCUUGCAUCUGCCACUGUUGCUGCUGCCGCAGCUCAGGACAAGGGCUGACUCCACUGGUGGAGGAAAUAGGAAUAUUCCAGGAUCAAAUCAGAAGCAUGGAUGGCUUUUGUAAUUCCAGGACCGUCCCUGGAAAAUCGGGACACUUGGAGGGCAUGGAAGUAAAGAGCCCUCAUUUAGUUCAGUGGGGUUUCCAUUGCUUGGGGGAUGUUGGAGGAUAUGGGAUAGAGGUCAUUAAGAAUGACUAAAGGUGCCAGAAGCAAGUCAUUAACCCAGGGCAGAGGCGGGAGUUCCCAUGGUUAUCAUGGGUGGAGAAAGGUUUAGGAUUUCAGUUUCCAUGGCUAGGAAAACAGGGGAGAGGCAGGCUGUGCUCACAGGAAAAAUGUUUCAUUUCACAAGGCUUGGUUUGUUUUUUUCUGGCAAGGGUCUUUGGGAUGGAGCCAGAACUCCAGGCAGAGGCCAUGUGGGGCAGAACCAUAUUGGAGGCUGAGACAGAGCCAUGGAGAUGAUGGCAAGCAGGAUGCCGUGGACCCCACUGCUGCACUGCUGUUGGGGCAAGCCUCUCUUGAGAUGGAACCCUCUCCAAAGUUAGACCCAGGUGUCAAUAUGUGUACAAUAAACUACAUUUCUUAAAGACA